rnacentral:rRNA from 1 species
UUUGUGGUUCAACUGAUUUGAAGAGCUUGCUCAGAUAUGACGAUGGACAUUGCAAAGAGUGGCGAACGGGUGAGUAACACGUGGGAAACCUACCUCUUAGCAGGGGAUAACAUUUGGAAACAGAUGCUAAUACCGUAUAACAAUAGCAACCGCAUGGUUGCUACUUAAAAGAUGGUUCUGCUAUCACUAAGAGAUGGUCCCGCGGUGCAUUAGUUAGUUGGUGAGGUAAUGGCUCACCAAGACGAUGAUGCAUAGCCGAGUUGAGAGACUGAUCGGCCACAAUGGGACUGAGACACGGCCCAUACUCCUACGGGAGGCAGCAGUAGGGAAUCUUCCACAAUGGGCGAAAGCCUGAUGGAGCAACGCCGCGUGUGUGAUGAAGGGUUUCGGCUCGUAAAACACUGUUGUAAGAGAAGAAUGACAUUGAGAGUAACUGUUCAAUGUGUGACGGUAUCUUACCAGAAAGGAACGGCUAAAUACGUGCCAGCAGCCGCGGUAAUACGUAUGUUCCAAGCGUUAUCCGGAUUUAUUGGGCGUAAAGCGAGCGCAGACGGUUAUUUAAGUCUGAAGUGAAAGCCCUCAGCUCAACUGAGGAAUUGCUUUGGAAACUGGAUGACUUGAGUGCAGUAGAGGAAAGUGGAACUCCAUGUGUAGCGGUGAAAUGCGUANAUAUAUGGAAGAACACCAGUGGCGAA